rnacentral:rRNA from 1 species
UUAGGAAUCUUCCACAAUGGGCGCAAGCCUGAUGGAGCGACACUGCAUGAGGGAUGACGGCCCUAGGGUUGUAAACCUCUGAACCAGGGACGAUAAUGACGGUACCUGGGUAAUAGCACCGGCUAACUCCGUGCCAGCAGCCGCGGUAAUACGGAGGGUGCAAGCGUUAUCCGGAAUCACUGGGCGUAAAGGGCACGUAGGCGGUCUAGUAAGUCCGAUGUUAAAGCGUGGGGCUCAACCCCAUCACGGCGUUGGAUACUGCUAGGCUUGACGACUGGAGAGGUGAGUAGAAUUACCAGUGUAGCGGUGGAAUGCGUAGAUACUGGUAGGAAUACCCAUUGCGAAGGCAGCUCACUGGACAGUACGUGACGCUGAGGUGCGAAAGUGUGGGGAGCAAACCGGAUUAGAUACCCGUGUAGUCC